AAAUCCGGAAAACCAAGGCUGAGGCGUGAUGACGAGGCACUACGGUGCUGAAGCGACAAAUGCCCUGCGUCCAGGAAAAGCCUCUAAGCAUCAGGUAACAUCAAAUCGUCCCCCAAACCGACACAGGUGGUCAGGUAGAGAAUACCAAGGCG
rnacentral:rRNA from 1 species